rnacentral:tRNA from 1 species
CCUGCGCCGCGCGGCGCGCGGCGUGCUGCUGCAGACGGCACGUGGCACGGAACCGUUCGAUGCAGUGGUGCUGGCC